rnacentral:lncRNA from 1 species
GGCCUACACAGUGGCUGUUGCCGGAGAGGGAGGCCGGAUUGCUAGAACAGGUCGUUGGGAGCAGAGAACGCAGGAGCAUCAAAUUCUCGAGCAAAUGGAGAAAAUGCUGACAUCGUGUUGAUGAGGAUUCCAAUCUGCAUGAUAAAUACAGUUCUCACUGUAAAUGUCUGUAAACUCGAGUACUGCGGGUCCAUCCCGGAAAGGCAGAGCCUCUCUCCCCAGGAGCAUCUGAACCUGCGGAAGCCAAGGGUCAGGCCCCAAGGAGAAGCCACCUGGAAAUUCCACCCCGUGAGAUGUUACAUUCCCCUCAAACCUUUCUGAAGUAUGAUAGGUUGUAUAUUAAGGUUUUUUCCAUAGUUUGAGUCUUUUUCCUUAGAGUAGUUAUUUUUAAAACAUUUCCUUGAGCACUGACAGUGUGCCAGGCACUGUUCUAAGCCCUUUAGAAGUAACAGUGCAUUCUUUGACUGGAGUUCUGGGACCUAGGGUUGUGAACUUAAAUUUUUUUUUUUUUUUAAGAUUGGCACCCGAGGUAACAACUGUUGCCAAUCUUCUUUUUUAUUUUCUGCUUUUUCUCCCCAAAUCCCCCCAGUACAUAGUUGUAUGUUUUAGUUGUGGGUCCUUCUAGUUGUGGCAUGUGGCAUGUCACCUCAACAUGGCACGAUGAGCGGUGCCAUGUCCGCGCCCAGGAUCUGAACUGGCAAAACCCUGGGCCACCAAAGCAGAGCACGCGAACUUAACCACUCGGCCGUGGGGCCAGCCCUGUGAACUUAAAUUUUUUUUCUCUUUUUAAAUACCAAAACACUCAAGAAAGGCUAAAAAAAAAAUCCAAAUUAGAAAAUUAUAAAAGAAAUGAGACCCUUCUCCAUCCAACUCAUCUUGCCCUCCAGAGCUAGAGCUGCUAAUAGCUCAGCGUAUGACUCCUUCCUGACUUUUCUUAGGAUUUUACAGUCAUAGCCAUAAAGUAAAAUAAAAUAUACUAUAUAUAUCUCUCUCUCGUCGUCGUUUGGUUUUCCCCGCGAUGCAGCCCUGUUCCACAUGCCGAUCUGCGCCUGGCCUUUCCCUUGGCUGUCCUCGAGGUGCUUCUCCCGCACCCGCUCCUGCUCCCUGGGGCUAAGCUGCCCUGCCUCAGGGCGCCUGGCGGUGCUGGACAGGAGACCAGCGGCCCAGAGCGUGUUCUCUCCAUCAGGACGGGGGUUGCUCAAGUGCUGGUCUUCACCGUCUCUCAGGAAGGGCCCAAACCCGGAUCUGAGGCCCCACAGAGCACGUCCGUCUUUCUGGUUAUUGUUGUGCCUUAUCUUCAGGAACCCUACCUGUGCCACAUCCAACCCCCAACAGAAUACCCUUUUGUUUCUUCUUUUAACACGAAAAAGUAGUUUUCAUACCAAUAGAGACUUGAAGUAAGAGGGCUGUUGUUUACCUCCACACUGACCCCUCAACGCCCUGGCCCCACUUGCACCCAGCUCCAACAGCCCCUUCUAGUGCUUAGUCUUGGUUUGCUUCCUAAAAAGCGAGUACCAGUUUACACUGCAAUACCUGCCCAUCGCCGUGCCUCUCUCUCAGCCUGCCCUCUCCAAGUCUAGGUGUUUCAACAAAAAGGGAAAAUCUUAGCUACAUUGAAAAAUGGUGUCUAGGUUUAAUUUGCAGUUUUUGUUAUGAUUCUUUGAACUCUUUUUGUGUAUGCUUAUUAACCUGUUUUAUUUUCGUUUUUUAAAUUCUCAAUGUUCUAUUCACUUACCGUGUUUUUUAAAGUAAAUUAUACAAAUUCUCUGAAAAUAAUUUUAUAAUGUGCUCAUUCUAAAAGACAGACAAAAAACUUUAUUUGCUGUGAAUAUUUUUCCAAUUUGUCUGCCAUCUAAUUUUGG